CAGGAACAACGCCCUCUGAUGGUCAAAGAUAAAGAAUGAGGUCCCUGAACACAGCAGCAGGUUAUUUAAAUAUGGAUAGGAGACUGGUAGGCUGUAAUCAGACAUACAGGAAAAGCUGCAGUACCUCUCAUGCGGGCGCGGUCUGAUGGGUCCAUGGCAGCCACUGGCUCAGAGACUCGGGACGGGCGGCUCAUGCCGCUCUUGUUGAUGGCACGCACACGGAACAAAUAGGAACGGCCCUCCACUAGGCCAGUGACGGGGAAACGGGCAAACUUAACCGGAGUGUCAUUGCACUGGAUCCAGUGGGUGGUUCCAACCUCACAUCUGUACACAUUUUACAAUCAUUGGUUUUUAUCCAGAUGACCACUGCUGUGAGACGACUGACAGACAUGUUUAGCAGCGACAUAUUGCUUGACCUGUCCACAAAGUAGCCCAGGAUGGAGUCGCCACCAUCGACCGCUGGCUGCUUCCAGGUGACAAUAAUGUAAUCCUUGUUGGCAUCCAGACAGCGCACAUCCAGAGGGGCACCGGGAGCUCUUUCAACCUCAGCAUCAGCAUCUAACACAAACAAAUAGUAACAACACCAUCAGGAUUGCCAGGAUGCAUACUCUCUUUUGUCUUACACACUCUUGUUUUUUGUUCUACUGUAGCUGGUGGUUUGAAAGUGAGCUGUGAGCUGUGAGCUGUGAGCUGUGCCCUGUGCGUAACUGUGUAGCUGCAUGGCAUGAAGCCUGGAAUGUUUCUGGUCAUCAAGUCAAACACAAGAGAACCGAGAGCAAUCAGUGGCAGGAGGACAGAAUUAGCUGCAGCCCGCCCCCAGAGUGAAAGGGGAUAAGAGAGGUGACUCUUAAAGAAACAUAAGGGGUAAAGCUAGGCCUCCAAGAGUUCCAUCAUAAAGUAAGGGCAUAUCAUUAUUGGGUACAUGUACAUAUGCAGCCUGCAUUAUACAACCAUAAACCAUCAACAAAAUGACACUUUUUAAAAAUGUAACAGGUCAAAAAAUUACAAAAGAGGAUUUUUUUAUUUAAGCAACUUUAUAAUGAUCGGUCUAUUAUGACAACAUACUGAGAGAUACAUAAAGAGAAGAUGGUUAUAAUCAGACAGUGUGUUUUCUCACAAAGAGCCACAAAGAACAGUAAGGAAACAGGGCAGCCUAUUGUUUCUCCUUGAAGCAGAUAUUUACAGUAUCUAUCUGCGCGCUCACAGCCAGACUCAUUCCAUAGCUGAGCUCUCUGAGAAUAGCCUGACUGCAGCAAGGCUCUUAGGAGAUUGUACCUAACCUCUUCUUUACUGGGCGACCCUGAGCCGUAACAGAGUCAACAACAGGGUCUAUGUGUAGAAGCUGAAGCUUUAAAGGUCAGAUUGUCUCUGAAGGCAGCAAAGAUAGGCUUCACUGACCAUUUUUUCCACUGUAUCAAAACCAGAUGCCUGGGAGUUGGAACUCUAUUGUUGUCUCUAUUAGAUAUAUCCUAUUUAAAACCAGUCACUCACAUUCAAACCCUGACUAUUAGAUGUGGUGUUGUCACCAGGUGCCAGAGGACGUGCUGUUGUGCCUUUAACCAUGAUCUAAUGACAUACUUGAUGAAAACAAAGUUGGGGGGAAUCAGGUUUCAUUUAGCGUGUGUUGACUAGGAUGGUAGUGAAGUGUCUGAUCGGAGACAUCUUAGAUACGUAACAUUUUACAGAAUUAAAGGCUUGAAGACUUUUUUCCUAAUGUGCAUGAAGUGAGGUGUUAGAACAGGCUUUAUUGAGGUUUAAUCGAUAAUCACUAAGGAGUCAGAGCUUUGAGACCUCUGAAGGAGUCUAAGUCUUGGAAGCAACAUUGGAUCUGGACAGAUUUGGGACUGUAAUCUCCCAAAUUAGAUAUUUUACAUACAGCAGCAGCAGCAGCAGCAGCCAUCUUUACACAAACUAGAUUAUAAUCCAUUAUCUAGUGAGCAGCUGAGAGUCAUCUAACGUUUUAAUGACAAGUUAAGGAAGGUGCACCCACCUUUGACAAAAACAUAGGCGGA